GCCCCUUGCCAUACACGUGUUGUGUCGCUCGCCGCUGCCUCAUUUCUACUCUUGCCCGAGGUCGGACGCUAAAUUCUGUCAGGCCCAGUGUCCAAGUGUCCGUUUAUCUGUCCGUUUGCAUAUGACCGUAGAUCGGCACGCCCUGCUCCAGCUGCGGCAUGUGCAGGGUUAAGGCGAGAGGAGGUUUCCCUGAGUCGGAGGGGGAGGGGGGCGAGGGGCGGACCUGGCC
rnacentral:lncRNA from 1 species